GACGAACGCUGGCGGCGUGCUUAACACAUGCAAGUCGAACGGAAAGGCCCUGCUUUUGUGGGGUGCUCGAGUGGCGAACGGGUGAGUAACACGUGAGUAACCUGCCCUUGACUUUGGGAUAACUUCAGGAAACUGGGGCUAAUACCGGAUAGGAGCUCCUGCUGCAUGGUGGGGGUUGGAAAGUUUCGGCGGUUGGGGAUGGACUCGCGGCUUAUCAGCUUGUUGGUGGGGUAGUGGCUUACCAAGGCUUUGACGGGUAGCCGGCCUGAGAGGGUGACCGGCCACAUUGGGACUGCGGUAGGGUCCAGAGUGCUACGGGAGGCAACAGUGGGGAAUAUUGCACAAUGGGCUGAAGCCUGAUGAAGCAACGCCGCGUGCGGGAUGACGGCCUUCGGGUUGUAAACCGCUUUCGCCUGUGACGAAGCGUGAGUGACGGUAAUGGGUAAAGAAGCACGGGAUAACUACGUG
rnacentral:rRNA from 1 species